GGUUGAUCCUGCCAGUAGUCAUAUGCUUGUCUCAAAGAUUAAGCCAUGCAUGUCUAAGUAUAAACAAAUUCAUACUGUGAAACUGCGAAUGGCUCAUUAAAUCAGUUAUAGUUUAUUUGAUGGUAUCUUGCUACAUGGAUAACUGUGGUAACUCUAGAGCUAAUACAUGCUUAAAAGCCCCGACUUCUGGAAGGGGUGUAUUUAUUAGAUAAAGAACCAAUGCUUUUCGGAGCUCCUUGGUGAUUCAUAAUAACUUCUCGAAUCGUAUGGCCUUGCGCCGACGAUGCUUCAUU
rnacentral:rRNA from 1 species